AACGCACCUUGCGCCCCUUGGCAUUCCGAGGGGCACACCCGUUUGAGUGUCGUGAAACCCUCAAAGAUCCUUUUUAGACUUACUGAAAAGGAUUUUUGGACUUGGAGGUUCAAUGCUCGCCUUUCACCUUUGAAAGUGAGCUCCUCUCAAAUGAAUUAGUGGGGUCUGCUUUGCUCGAUCCUUGACGUGAUAAGAUGUUUCUACGUUUUGGAUUUUGGCACUGUUCCUUGGACGCCUGCUUCUAACUGUCUCACAGACAAUGGAUGGUGCUCCGGUUCCUACCGCCUAACGUCGGUGGGAGGCUGGACCCACGAAUGAAAACCUUGACCUCAAAUCGGGUGAGACUACCCGCUGAACUUAA
rnacentral:misc_RNA from 1 species